CAGUACUAUCAGAGAGAGUCCUACAGAGUCACAGAGCUCAAUAUCAACAUUUUAUUUCUGGAAGAGGCCUGACGAGCUUUAACAGAACCCACAAGAAUGAAAGAAAAUGCAGCUAUUUCCUGUGAAGUUGGGACACUCCGAUGGCUGACAUUCCUGCAUCCAAACCUCAAGUGUCACGGUCCUUUGGAGACGCCAAUCUCAGAGUGUCUGAAUGACCGGCAGCACAUCAUUCACUGUCAGCUCAGCCCAGAGUCUACUGCCGUACCUCAGCUUCUCGACCAGCGCCACUGUCCAGUCCACUGCCAUCGAUAGACAUCAGUCAGGAAUGUCACCGGGUCAGAUCUGAGGCAUUUGGCAGACA